GCCGAGGUGGUGGAAUUGGCAGACACGAUGGAUUCAAAAUCCAUUGUCCGCGAGGGCGUGCGGGUUCAAGUCCCGCUCUCGGCACCA
rnacentral:tRNA from 1 species